ACAGCACUUAAGAUUUUGCUUAUCUGUGUUAGUUUUUUUACUCUGCCCAACUUGCAACAUGCUACUUUCCUUUAAUGUAUUUAUAUUUAUUAGCUAAAGAUAGCUUGUUUUGUUUUUAUAUUUUGGAAAGUUCUCCUACACACUUGCAGAACAAAUAUGAAAUAUGAAUAAUUACAGAAUAGACAGAUGACUCAUUUGUGUCUUCCUGGUAAAGUACAGAGUAGUGUAACCCUGAGGAUGAAUAGAACUUCAUAGUUGUUUUGAUGUGGGUCACUCAGCAGACACCAAAGACUUUCAACAAGCUCACUACACAACCAAGACUAGCUUUAGGUGCUAAGAGACAUGUCAGAGAACAGCACUUGUUACAUGAUGUCAAGGAAUUUGGUGUAAUGUUAAUGCAUCUAGAAGCAGCCUGUUUAUAAACCCACCUGUCCAAAGGCAUUUUGUUUUGUUUUGUUUGGAUUUCAAUAAGAAAAAAAAAAUGGAACAAUGCAGUUGUAAUGUAACCAAAGUAUGAAUUUUUGCAUUUUCUUAUUAACAGCAGUUUGCUUUUAAAAAGUUUAAACGUGAUUCCCUGUUCAUGGCUUUGCUGCAAAAAGCUGGCCUGGGACUCAAAGAGUUACAGAUCUCUUGCAGCAGUCCGCUGCAGUGAGUUUGACAUCAGCAGAGUGCAUUUUCAGUAUCCAAUCAGCGGCGCUGAAUCGGCUUCGCUUUUAGCCAAUCAGGAGAGGGGGUGGGCUCUAACAAGGUUUGAACUAAGACGCUAUCUUUCGGCGCCAUUUUUCUGAGUGAGCAGCUAUAGCUUCAACAGCUGCGGGGAGAGGAUGCUUCUGCUGCGAAUAUAGAGAGCUGUCGCUGAGACGGCGAGGGGGGGUGAGAUGAAGCCAAGUGGUUAAAGCCCAAACUGCGUUUUUUAGAGAAGAAAAUCCUUCAUCUCAGCGGGAACACAGACGGAGAUCCAUCUUUCCUGUUAAGGAUGUAGAAAGACGUCAUGGAAGAUGAUCGUCUCUACCUUCUUAGAUGAAUGCGGAUUUAAAGCUUGGACAAGGCAAGUGCAAAAUGCAGAAAAUGAGCAGGAGAGCAUCACGCCCAACUCUGGUAAUGUUGUAGCAGCACAGAAUGGUUUGUGGUUACUCUGAGAUGCAGGCCAUACUGCGCUGCCGCAAUAAAGCCAGACUAGUUCAGCAUGCAGUGAUCAGCUUCAAGUCCCUCCAGAUGUCUUUGACGACCAUCGGCUGCCUGAGUUUAUAUUAUCCGGAUAAUUGUUUUCCUAAUGAGAGUGAUGAAAUGUUUCCAGGGUAUUUGUCAUUCUGAUUUACUGGUUGCUUUACUGUAGCAGCAUGUAAAUAUUGGAGUUGAGACUAAAUGAAGUCUCCAGUAUUGAUCGUGCUGCUGAAGCAAAGCUGACCACUCACACUCAGUCCAACAAGCCACUAGCUGAAUGUUCCCUCACACCUUCUAGGUGAUAACAAGUAGACAGUAAGGAUUAUGUCGAGUGUAAUUUGAUUUUUUUGUAUAUUUUUUAAUAAAUAAAACCUCUACCUGA